GUCUGUUUGGAGCUAUAAAGAGUCUAACCUGCCCACUGACAUAAGUAUUAAAGGGCCGCAGUAUUAUAACUGUGCAAAGGUAGCAUAAUCAUUAGGUUUUUAAUUGGAAUCUUGAAUGAAUGGUUGGACAAAAGGAGCACUGUCUUUAUAUUAGAUUUUGAAUUUAACUUUUAAGUGAAAAGGCUUAAAUAUUCUAAUGGGACGAUAAGACCCUAUAAAACUUUACAUUAGGCUUAGAUUUAGUUGAAUUUAGUUAUAAAGAUUUAAUUUAAUUAUUUGUUAUAUUGGGGAGAUAUAAGUAAACUUUUUAUUAACUGCUUAUUGAUUAAACACUUACCAAUGGGAAUAGUAGAUCCUUGUUAAAGAUUGUUGAAUUAAGUUACUUUAGGGAUAACAGCGUUAUUUUUUUUGAGAGUUCGUAUCGAAAAAAAAGGUUGCGACCUCGAUGUUGAAUUAAAAUAUCUGUAUAAUGGAGCGGUUAUAUAGGAAGGUCUGUUCGACCUUUAAAAUUUUACAUGAUUUGAGUUCAAACCGGCGUGAG
rnacentral:rRNA from 1 species